AAUGAACGCUGGCGGCGCGCCUAAUACAUGCAAGUCGAGCGAGAAGACGUAGCAAUACGUUUGUAAAGCGGCGAACGGGUGAGGAAUACAUGGGUAACCUACCCUCGAGUGGGGAAUAACUAGCCGAAAGGUUAGCUAAUACCGCGUACGCUUCUUGGACUUCGGUUCAGGGAGGAAAGCGAUGCCGAGGGUAUCGCGCUCUUGGAUGGGCUCAUGUCCUAUCAGCUUGUUGGGAGGUAACGGCUCACCAAGGCUUCGACGGGUAGCUAGUCUGAGAGGACGAUCAGCCACACUGGCACUGCGACACGGGCCAGACUCCUACGGGAGGCAGCAGUAAGGAAUAUUGCGCAAUGGGCGAAAGCCUGACGCAGCGACGCCGCGUGGGGGAUGAAGGUCUUCGGAUUGUAAACCCCUUU
rnacentral:rRNA from 1 species